rnacentral:SRP_RNA from 1 species
GCUGGGCAUGGUGGCAUGUGCCUGUAGCCCCAGCUAAUCGGGAGGCUGGGACAGGAGGAGCUCCCACUUGAGCCUCGGAGCUCUGAGCUGUAGCGUGCUAUGCCGAUCCAGUGUCUACACUAAGCUCAGCAUCAAUAUGCUGACCUCCCAGGAGUGGGAGACCACCUGGUUGCCUAAGGAGGGCUGAACUGGGCCAGGUCAGAAAUGGAGCAGGUCAAAACUCCAACGCUGAUCAGCAGUGAGACUGCACAUGUGAAUCACUGCCUCCCAGCCUGGGCAACGUAAUGAGACUCUGUCUCU